rnacentral:misc_RNA from 1 species
AACGCGUAUUGCGCUCUUUGGUAUUCCGAAGAGCAUGCUUGUUUGAGUAUCAGUGAACACCUCAAAGCCUUUUUCUUUUUUGAAGAAAGGCUUUGGACUUGAGCAAUCCCAACACCAAUCUUUUAAAGAGGGGGGGCGGGUUACUUGAAAUGCAGGUGCAGCUGGACAUUCUCCUGAGCUAAAAGCAUAUUCAUUUAGUCCCGUCAAACGGAUUAUUACUUUUGCUGCAGCUAAUAUAAAGGGAGUUUGACCAUUUUGGCUGGCCGAUGCAGGAUUUUCACAAGAGUCUUCAAAACCUCUUGUUGAACUCGAUCUCAAAUCAAGUAAGACUACCCGCUGAACUUAA